UACGAAGGGGACUAGCGUUGUUCGGAAUUACUGGGCGUAAAGCGCACGUAGGCGGAAUUGUCAGUCAGGGGUGAAAUCCCGGGGCUCAACCUCGGAACUGCCCUUGAUACAGCAAUUCUCGAGUCCGAUAGGGGUGAGUGGAAUUCCUAGUGUAGAGGUGAAAUGCGUAGAUAUUAGGAAGAACACCGGUGGCGAAGGCGGCUCACUGGAUCGGUACUGACGCUGAGGUGCGAAAGCGUGGGGAGCAAACAGG
rnacentral:rRNA from 1 species